CAUUGCACUCCGGCCUGGGCUACAAGAGCAAAAGUCUGUCUCAAAAAAUACCGGAAGCAAAGACAAAACACUGGACAGCUGGUCCCAGAUGAGGCCUGCCCUUUCCCGACUGAUUCUUUCUGAAUAAUGUCCACCUGUGCACUGGGACGAUGGCGUAGAACCUUGGGAAGUUUGCACCGUUUGCAGCGAGGAGGAGCCUGGCCUUUCCUGUUCCUGUGUGCUGACCUGGAACUCAAUCUGUGAGCUGGGAAACCUGCUAUCAGGACUCUCUCUUGUUUUGCUGAGAGUUAUUUUUCCUUUUUUCUUUUCAUCCAAUAAAUUCCAUUUUCCUCACCCUUCUAUGUGUCCGCAAGCCUCAUCUUUCCUGGUCGUGUGACAAGAGCCCAGUUUUACCUGAACUAAGGGGAACGUUCUGCAACAAUUUCUCCUUUGCUCCAACUGUUUGGACUCUGAGCCAUGUCCUCACUGCUGCCACUCACACUAGGGACCUGUUGCUCCCUGUGCCCAGGGUGCCCUUCCUCUUGUUUCUGGGUGGCUGACUCCUGCUGGCCCAAAGGGAUCCAGAUCAGGAUGGUGUGUUAGCACCUCUAAGAAGUACCCAAAAACACUCACCUCUUUCCCCCAUGGGAUGGGUGCCCCUCCAUGGGGCUCACGUGUCAUACUGCACCCUGACUCAUCACAUGUCAUUGUUCCUUUGUAUUAAUUUUCUGUGAUCUAUAGUGAGUUCCUUGAGGGCAGAGAAAGGACUUUUAUCUCUGCAUUACCACAGCCCACACUGGUUCUUAUCCAUCCAUCCACCCAUCCAUCCAACAGACAUUUAUUAAUCAACUACUCUCAGCCAAACACAAACAUCCAUCAUACAGCCCCAGGUCUUAGGAGUUUAUAGUUUAGUGGGCGAUAUAAACACGGAAAAUGGACUGUUAGAAAGUAUUCUGGUUAACAGAAAUGUGUAUGGGCAUUAGGUUAACCAAAGGGAGUAAUCAUUCCCACCUGGAGGUUGGCUGGGGAAAGGGCCCAUAUCAAAGGAGAGCCAGGCUGAAUCUUGAGGGAUAAGAAGAAGCUUGUGAGUGUACAAGGAAGGGAAGGGCAUUGCAGGCAGAGGGAGUAGGAAGAAGAAGAACAACAUAAACAGUGCUCAACACUGAACAUGAAUAGAGCAUUGGGGUUUGAGUCGGGAGAGGAGAGAGAGACAACUGGAGAGCACGCAGAGAACAAGGGAACUUUACCACAUUGCAGAGGGAGGACUUCACACACAGGCACCCAGGAGCUGGAACAGGUGGGCCACACAAAAGAACGCCGCUGAGGGGUUUCGGAGGUGGAUACUCUCGUCAGCAGGUUGCUGCCCUAGACGAAGUACAGAAAACUGUCCUCAUCCGGCCCGGGACGUCCCUGCAGCCCGAGUUCGCCAUGUCCCACUGCUGCCUGAACGGGAACCUGGAGCAGAGCUGUGAGGAGCAGCCAGAGAGCGCAGCGCGGCGGCCCAGGACCCUGGCCCAGUGACUCCCUGGCCGCCGCCUCCAGCAAGUUGCUCUUUUACCUUAUUCCUCAUCAGUUCAGAUUCUCUCACCAGGGGCAACCCCUAUUUUUGGAUUCUUGUGCCAGGACAUGUUAUUAAAUUUUUUUAAAAAGGUCA